rnacentral:rRNA from 1 species
GACGAACGCUGGCGGCGUGCUUAACACAUGCAAGUCGAGCGGUAAGGCCCUUUCGGGGGUACGACGAGCGGCGAACGGGUGAGUAACACGUGGGUGACCUGCCCUCAGCUCUGGGAUAAGCCUGGGAAACUGGGUCUAAUACUGGAUAUGACUCCACGGUGCAUGUCGUGGGGUGGAAAGCCUUGUGCGGCUGAGGAUGGGCCCGCGGCCUAUCAGCUUGUUGGUGGGGUGAGGCCUACCAAGGCGACGACGGGUAGCCGGCCUGAGAGGGCGACCGGCCACACUGGGACUGAGACACGGCCCAGACUCCUACGGGAGGCAGCAGUGGGGAAUCUUGCGCAAUGGGCGAAAGCCUGACGCAGCGACGCCGCGUGAGGGACGACGGCCUGU